rnacentral:rRNA from 1 species
UACGUAGGGUGCAUGCGUUGUCCGGAAUUAUUGGGCGUAAAGAGCUCGUAGGCGGCUUGUCGCGUCGAAUGUGAAAACCCGGGGCUCAACCCCGGGCCUGCAUUCGAUACGGGCAGACUAGAGUUCGGUAGGGGAGUCUGGAAUUCCUGGUGUAGCGGUGAAAUGCGCAGAUAUCAGGAGGAACACCGAUGGCGAAGGCAGGUCUCUGGGCCACUACUGACGCUGAGAAGCGAAAGCGUGGGGAGCGAACAGG